GCUGGGAUGGCCGAGUCGUUAAGGCGAGUGAUUUGAAUAAGCCUCUUAUCAAGGCGAAUUAUCACUUGGUGUUUCACCGCGUAGGUUCAAAUCCUGCUCUCAGCG